AGUCGCGCGCUCGCAGGCAUCUUUCUCGUCGCUCAUCUAAUAACCAACCGAGUGUAUUUCUUCUCUUUUUAUAUCCUUUGGACGUCAGUUUGUCUGUAACUACGACGCUUUGCCGAUCUUGAUCGGACUCUGCUCUCCAGAAAACUUCGGGCACAGAAGCUAACAACUCCCGCGAAGGUGCAGAUUGAUUCCUGCCUCGGAUGUACGUGAUUGCUGCUCUUAGGAGUAGAUGGUUAAUGUAUCUUAAUCUGACUUCCCGCCUCUCCCUUUUGUUAUUUAGGUGAGAUGAUCACAAUCUAGUAGAACAGAUCGCACGUUUUCUUUC